CAAGUCAGAUGUGAAAAUACUGCGGCUCAACUGCAGAAUGGCAUCUGAAACUGUACUCUUGAGUACUGGGAGAGGAAAGCGGGAAUUCCUAGUGUAGCGGUGAAAUGCGUAGAUAUUAGGAGGAACACCGGUGGCGAAGGCGGCUUUCUGGACGGUAACUGACGCUGAGACGCGAAAGCGUGGGGAGCAAACAGGAUUAGAUACCCUGGUAGUCCACGCUGUAAACGAUGGAUACUAGGUGUAGGAGGUAUCGACCCCUCCUGUGCCGCCGUUAACACAUUAAGUAUCCCACCUGGGGAGUACGGUCGCAAGACUGAAACUCAAAGGAAUUGACGGGGGCCCGCACAAGCAGUGGAGUAUGUGGUUUAAUUCGAGGCAACGCGAAGAACCUUACCAGGGCUUGACAUCGCCUGACAACGUCGGAAACGACGCUUCUCUUCGGAGCAGGUAGACAGGUGGUGCAUGGUUGUCGUCAGCUCGUGUCGUGAGAUGUUGGGUUAAGUCCCGCAACGAGCGCAACCCUUGCCGUCAGUUGCCAUCAUUAAGUUGGGCACUCUGGCGGGACUGCCGGUGAUAAAUCGGGGGAAGGUGGGGAUGACGUCAAAUCAUCAUGCCCCUUAUGUCCUGGGCUACACACGUACUACAAUGGCCACUACAAUGGGAAGCGAUACCGCGAGGAGGAGCAAAUCCCCAAAGGUGGCCCCAGUUCGGAUUGUAGGCUGAAACUCGCCUACAUGAAGUCGGAAUUGCUAGUAAUUGCAGGUCAGCAUACUGCAGUGAAUACGUUCCCGGGCCUUGUACACACCGCCCGUCACACCAUGAGAGUUUGUAACACCCGAAGUCGGUAGUUUAACUUUAU
rnacentral:rRNA from 1 species